AUACGGAGGGUGCAAGCGUUACUCGGAAUCACUGGGCGUAAAGCGCGCGCAGGCGGGCUGAUAAGUUGGAUGUGAAAGCCUACGGCUCAACCGUAGAACUGCAUCCAAAACUGUCAGUCUAGAGUGUGGGAGAGGAAGAUGGAAUUAGUUGUGUAGGGGUAAAAUCCGUAGAGAUAACUAGGAAUACCAAAAGCGAAGGCAAUCUUCUGGAACACUACUGACGCUGAGGCGCGAAGGCGUGGGGAGCAAACAGGAUUAGAUACCCCGGUAGUCC
rnacentral:rRNA from 1 species